rnacentral:rRNA from 1 species
UCAGGCCUAACACAUGCAAGUCGAACGGCAGCACGGGAGCAAUCCUGGUGGCGAGUGGCGAACGGGUGAGUAACAUAUCGGAACGUGCCCAGUCGUGGGGGAUAACGCAGCGAAAGCUGUGCUAAUACCGCAUACGAUCUACGGAUGAAAGCGGGGGAUCGCAAGACCUCGCGCGAUUGGAGCGGUCGAUAUCAGAUUAGCUAGUUGGUGGGGUAAAAGCUUACCAAGGCGACGAUCUGUAGCUGGUCUGAGAGGACGACCAGCCACACUGGAACUGAGACACGGUCCAGACUCCUACGGGAGGCAGCAGUGGGGAAUUUUGGACAAUGGGCGCAAGCCUGAUCCAGCAAUGCCGCGUGCAGGAUGAGGGCCUUCGGGUUGUAAACUGCUUUUGUACGGAGCGAGACGGCACCUUCUAUACAGGGUGC